rnacentral:rRNA from 1 species
AUUGAACGCUGGCGGCAGGCCUAACACAUGCAAGUCGAGCGAGCGGCGGACGGGUGAGUAAUGUAUGGGGACUGCCUGAUAGAGGGGGAUAACUACUGGAAACGGUGGCUAAUACCGCAUACUAUCGGAUAACCCAUAUGGGAUUAGCUAGUAGGUGGGGUAAAGGCUCACCUAGGCGACGAUCUCUAGCUGGUCUGAUAGGAUGAUCAGCCACACUGGUACUGAUACACGGCCCAGACUCCUACGGAGGCAGCAGUGGGGAAUAUUGCACAAUGGGCGCAAGCCUGAUGCAGCCAGGCCCCGUGUAUGACGAAGGCCUCAGGUUUGUAAAGUACUUUCAGCGGGUAUGCGUUACACGUAGAAGACGCAACCGAUAACUCCGUGCCAGCCGCCGCGGUAAUAC